GUGUCAGCAGCCGCGGUAAAACGUAGGAGCCAAGCGUUAUCCGAAUUCACUGGGCGUAAAGCGCGUGCAGGCGGCUGGGUAAGUUGGAUGUGAAAUCUCCUGGCUCAACUGGGAGAGGCCGUUCAAUACUACCUGGCUUGAGGGCGACAGAGGGAGGUGGAAUUCCGGGUGUAGUGGUGAAAUGCGUAGAUAUCCGGAGGAACACCAGAGGCGAAGGCGACCUCCUGGGUCGUACCUGACGCUGAGAUGCGAAAGCUAGGGGAGCAAACGGGAUUAGAUACCCGAGUAGUCC
rnacentral:rRNA from 1 species